AACAUAUAGUAUGUUAUUAGUUUCAGGUGUAUAGUAUAGUGAUUCAGCACUUCUCUCCAUAAUGCAGUGAUCAUCAGGGUACUUCUUAAAUACUUUCUCCUUCACCCUGUCAUCAUGCUGAUUGAAGCCACUGUUGGGGAGGAAGAAUUUCCUCUGCCCUUCAAGGUCCUUCCAGCUGGAUUUAGAGAAUCAAACUGACAUGAGACAGAUUAACAGGAGAAAAUCCAAUUUAAUAGCCUACGUAUGGAGAAUCCACACAGGCAUGGAAAUUCCAGACAGCCAGGCAGCAUGAAGCUUGUAUGAGCUAAGGAGAGGGAGCCUGUCCAUUGACCACUGCCGUAGGCCAGGGUUUCUCAACUAUGACACCACCAACAUCUUGGACUGGAUCGUUCUCUAUUGUGGAAGGCUUUUCUGCAUGAUAUUUGAACCCUCAUGGCUGCAAGAUGGCUGCCAAGGCUCCAGGCGUUAUCGCCCACACAUCACAACUGGGCAGGAGGGUUGGUUCUCCUCGUAUACCUCUUUAUGUCUUCACCAUCUAGACAAGAUUGGGUUACAUACCGAUGCCACAGCUGUCAGGCUUUCAGAUCCAUGAAGCUCCUGUCUCUCGGUAGAUGCAUAAACAGCGUGACUAUGAGGAGAAAAUGAAAGAACAGAGGCACAUACACUUGGUAUUCGCAAGGAUGGAUUCCAGGGUUCAGAAUGAAUGGGCUGUGAUCCCAGCCAUUCCACUGUGUGACUUUAGGCAAGUUCCUCAAACUGCCUAUCCCUCAACUCACUCAUCUAUAAAAUGGGAAAAAGAAAAGUACAUACCUCAUAGAAUCUUUGUGAAAAUUAAAUGAGAAAACAUACGUAACCUUCAAAAAACUGUCAGCAGGGCAGCCCGGGGGGCUCAGUGGUUGAGCAUCUGCCUUCAGCCCAGGAGGUGAUCCUGGAGACCCGGGAUCGAGUCCCACGUCGGGCUCCCUGCAUGGAGCCUGCU